AAAAUCUGACGUACCGCUGCCUGGGGUCUCGGCCUCUCGGGAAGGUGGGGGUGUGGGUGAGUAGGAUAGGAGAGCUGAUGGGCCUGUUGGGGAUAUAAUUGGGGUGGACCUGUUGGACUACUAUUGUGUAUACUUUGGUUUUCUGAGUUAUUUCGGUUAACUAAGGGCCAGAACCGAAGUAACCGAUCAAAUUUCAGUUAGUUGAAAGUCAGAACCGAACCUAGGACUGAAUUUCUCAGUUUUGGGCCUGUUCGCUUCAGCUUAUAAGUCGGCUGAAAAGCUAAAAUGGCUGAUUUGUUGUGAGAGGAAAACACUGUUUGGUAGCUGAUAAGCCAGCUGAAUAAGCUGAAGCGAACAGGCCCUUUGUUUCUUUCGGUUCGGUCCUCGGUUUUCGGUUCGGUUCCCGGUCCUCGGUCAAUUAUGCCCAGGCCUACCAACUGCUUCCGUUCCUUUGGGAUGACCCAACUAAUCAAGGAGGCAAUCACUGUGCUGCUUCAGUGUAAAAAUAAUGAAAAGAAAGCUCGCAGAUAUGUUUUCCUAAUGCAAGUGAUCCUAUACUUUCCUGCAGUAUUGUAAAAUGGCAGAAUUGUAGCUGUAGCCUUGGUUUAUCCACGGAGAAAAUAUUAUUUUUGACAACCAAAAUUAACAUAUUAGAACUUCCGAUAUCGAAAUCGGAAUGUCUGAUUGAAUUUUGGCCCGGAAAGAGAGCUAAAGUCUGCUUGAACAUCAGCAUUCCGU
rnacentral:lncRNA from 1 species